GGGGCUGUAGCUCAGUUCGGCAGAGCACCUCGUUCGCAACGAGGGGGUCACGGGUUCAAAUCCCGUCAGCUCCACCG
rnacentral:tRNA from 1 species